rnacentral:rRNA from 1 species
UACGGAGGGGGCUAGCGUUGUUCGGAAUUACUGGGCGUAAAGCGCACGUAGGCGGCUUUGUAAGUUAGAGGUGAAAGCCCGGAGCUCAACUCCGGAAUUGCCUUUAAGACUGCAUCGCUAGAAUUGUGGAGAGGUGAGUGGAAUUCCGAGUGUAGAGGUGAAAUUCGUAGAUAUUCGGCGGAACCCCAGUGGCGAAGGCGACUCACUGGCCCGAUACUGACGCUGAGGUGCGAAAGCGUGGGGAGCAAACAGG